UUGUACAAAGGUCACACAGAUACUAAAACUGGAAAGAUACAGAGAAGGUGAGCGCAGUUUUGCACGAGGGUGACACAAAUUCAUGAAGUGGUCUGACUUUUU
ensembl:snRNA U6 U6 spliceosomal RNA